CUUAUGACCUGGGCAACACACGUGCUACAAUGGGAAGUACAACGAGUCGCAAACCGGCGACGGUAAGCUAAUCUCUUAAAACUUCUCUCAGUUCGGACUGGAGUCUGCAACUCGACUCCACGAAGGCGGAAUCGCUAGUAAUCGCGAAUCAGCAUGUCGCGGUGAAUACGUUCCCGGGUCUUGUACACACCGCCCGUCAAAUCAUGGGAGUCGGAAGUACCCAAAGUCGCUUGGCUAACUUUUAGAGGCCGGUGCCUAAGGUAAAAUCGAUGACUGGGAUUAAGUCGUAAC
rnacentral:rRNA from 1 species